rnacentral:rRNA from 1 species
UUGGAGGGCAAGUCUGGUGCCAGCAGCCGCGGUAAUUCCAGCUCCAAUAGCGUAUAUUAAAGUUGUUGCAGUUAAAAAGCUCGUAGUUGAAUUUCGGGAUUAGUACGCUGGUCGUGCCUUCGGUACGUACUGGUGUUACUGAUUUCUACCUUCUGACGAACCAUCAUGUCAUUAAUUUGGUGUGGUGGGGAAUCAGGACUGUUACUUUGAAAAAAUUAGAGUGUUUAAAGCAGGCUCGCGCUUGAAUACAUUAGCAUGGAAUAAUGAAAUAGGACGUUGAUCCUAUUUUGUUGGUUUCUAGGAUUGACGUAAUGAUUAAUAGGGAUAGUUGGGGGCAUUAGUAUUCGAUUGUCAGAGGUGAAAUUCUUGGAUUUAUUGAAGACUAACUACUGCGAAAGCAUUUGCCAAGGAUGUUUUCAUUAAUCAAGAACGAAAGUUAGGGGAUCGAAGACGAUCAGAUACCGUCGUAGUCUUAACCAUAAACUAUGCCGACUAGGGAUCGGAUGAUGUUAUUUUUAAUGACUCAUUCGGCGCCUUACGGGAAAC